rnacentral:lncRNA from 1 species
CCGCGGCACGAACUUUAUUAACCUGAUAAUUAGGGAAGCCUCGCAGUGCCACAGAAGGUCGUCUCCAAUUGGAUGGGGGUUUUCUAAAGAACGAAGGAAUUCGUUGUUGUAAAAACAAAAGCAAUUGUCAAAUCGAGCCAAUGAAAAUCACUCUUCCGAGCUACUGCAAGACUACCCGAUAAUUCAAGUGAUAUAAUGAUUAAAGGGGAAGUCAAGUCCGUAAUGUAAACAAACGGUUUGUUUACAUUUUGAACUGCUGUAUUUUUUAAAAUAUGAUGUACUGUCUGAAUAUCUAACACCAUUUUGGUUCGUUAUGCUUCUACAUGAAUAUGAAAUAGAGUUUGUGUUCAGAAAAAUUCGAAACAUUCAAAAUUUGGGCAAUGUUUACCUCAGAGGGCCCUCUAUUGUUAUGCGCAGAACCGAUGCGCAGAACGGACUUGACUUCCCCUUUAAUGGAAAUUUUUACUUCUUUCUUAAAUAUCUAUGUUAAGUAUAGAGUAAAUAAUAUAUAAUAAUUGCUUUCGCUGGACUCAAAGAUGGAUACAUAAUCAUCUAAAUUAAUUGUAAGUUUGUAACGUAAGGUUUUUACAUUUCAUUUAAAUUUUUAAAGGUGAUGUAAAGUCCGUAAUGUAAACAAACGCUUUGUUUACAUUUUGAACUCACUGCUACAGUUGUAAAAUAUGAUUAGAUAUAUAUUAUACUUAAUUUUUAACACUUUUCUGGUUCGUUAUGCUUGUAAAUGAAUACAGACUAGAGAUUCAAUUCAAGAAAGUUCGGAAGGUGCGAAAUAUUAACAACAUUCCAAAGGUUGCUCCCCCACUGAUGGAAUGUUUUGAUGCGCAGAAUAUAUGCGCAGAACGGACUUUACCGCAUCUUUAAUUAUUUUUAGCUGCCAUCUUUAUUAAUCCAUUUAUAACAAAAAGAACUCCAUAUUAUACAAUAAUUAUAUAAGGGAUGUAUUAAUCUUUUCGUGCCAUUUCUAGAAAAUUCGACAUUUUCUGAACAGAGCAAAAUUGACGUCAGGACAGACAAUUUAAUUUAUAUAAGCGGACGAAGCAUUCAUCCGUGAGAAUUUGCAUUUUUGCUCAAAUCAAGCCAGUGACUGGGCACAAAUGUCUAUUACUUAGUAAACAUAUACGUCAUAUAUUAUACUCGAAAAUAACUUGCAUGUUUUAGUUGCUGUCAAUGAAGAAGAAAGCCUUGUGACCAGCAUAGCUCGUACACAGUUUGGUAAAGGAUUACAUGGUAGCUUUGUUUGUAUUCAAGCUAAAGUUCAAAGAUAAUACAAGUCAAAGGCAGACAUCAAACAGCGUGGAAUAAGCAAAGAAAACGUCUAGGUUCCAAGCAUAUUCCAAGCGAAUCAAAGCAGGCACUGAACAGCCAAGAACUACUUUACUUCAGAUUUUUAUCCAGUGACCAGUUCAAACCAUGGCAAACCAUACCAACACAACAGAACGAGAAGAAUAUUUCAUGGUAGGAUGGUUUAAAUAUCCCAAAGACCUCGAUGUCAACUAUGAUCUUCUUCAGUUACUAUAUAUCAUCAUUAUGAUCACAUCCUUGCCAUUAAAUGUCAUAUUCCUAGCAAUGAUAAUCAAAAACUCUGGCAAUAAAACUUGGACUAAUAUGAGCAUUAUUCUCGCAAGUAUGUGCGUGUUGUUUUUAACUAUGAACAGUAUCACUACAGCGAACCAAGUUUAUAGAAUAUAUCACGGAGAUCAGACGACACUUAUAAGUGAUAAUGUGAUCAAAAAUGUCCUACAAGUAGCAUUCACAAAAUAUUACUUUAGCGCUUUCCUUUUAGCGCUUAUUACAUACGGUAUGAUAGUUAAACCAUUGCUAUAUAAAGCUCUGGCGCCCAAGCCACGAACUAUGGUGUUUAUAAUCUUGGGACUGUGGAUAACUGGCGGAGGAGUGUUUCUGAUCCUACCAUUAUUUAUCAACGAUAACAUUAUGCGGACGAUUGCGGUUUUAUUUUGUUGGAUAAAGACAUUUGUGAUGGCGAUUAUGCAUGCAAAAAUUUUGACCACACUUCGACGUAGAAAACGUGAACUACGAAACACAUUAAAUGUGGCAGCCUCACGUCAAGGUUUACUGGUUAUUAAACAGAAUUCAAAGCUAGCUACAACACUGUUUUUAUAUAUUUUAUUCAUGGUUCUAAUGACACUACCUAUAGGUACAUGUAUAUUUUUAUUAAACAACUGCCCGUCAUGUAAUAAUCCACUAACUAUAAAGAUUAUUCUCCAUCUCAUUCCCGUCUCGGUGUCAAUGUCUGUCUUGUUCCCAGUCCACUGGCUGUUCGGCACGCCACAGUACUACAACGAGAUCAAGACACUGGGUUCGAAACUGAUGACGUGUUUCAAACAUUAAAUGUCACAGAUCUCAAAUGAAAACUGGAUAGCGCAAUCCGUUGUUAACUGGUAUACAUAAUGAAUCUAGUUUUAAAAACAUUUGAGAUUCAGUUCAGUUAUAUUUGUAAGUUCAUUGAUUGAAAACAUUCUUAAAAUGUAUAAAUAGAGAUGAAGGAGAUCAUUUAACACGAACAUGUAAUUAUAUGAAUGGACAUUAACAUAUAAAUUAGGAUUUCUAGCCAUUUGCAUGCAAAUAUUUAACAAAAGGAUAUUUAUUCUGUUGUCUAUAAUUUAUUCUGAAUUAUUCUUCUUUUAUCAAAAAGCAA